CAUAGCUUUGUUGAUUUUGAUUCAAAGUAUUGUCUGCCCACUGAUUAUUUAAAUGGCCGCGGUAUAAUGACCGUGCAAAGGUAGCAUAUUAAUUAGUUCUUUAAUUGAGAGCUGGAAUGAAUGGCUAAACGAGAAAAUGGCUGUCUCUGUUAGAUUUAUUUGAAAUUUACUUUUAAGUGAAAAGGCUUAAUUUUAUCUAAGGGACGAGAAGACCCUAUAGAGUUUAAUAAUUUCAAUUAAUUAAUUAUUUGGAAUUUAAUUUUUAAUUAUUUUUUAUUAUUUGGUUGGGGAGAUUGCUAGAAAAGAUAAACUCUAGUUUAAUUUUACAUUUAUUUAUGGAUUUUUGAUCCUUUAUUAUGGAUUUAAAGAUUAAAUUACCUUAGGGAUAACAGCGUAAUAUCUUUGGAGAGUUCAUAUCAAUAAGGAUGUUUGCGACCUCGAUGUUGGAUUAAAAUAAGUUUUUGGUGUAGCAGUUAAAAUACUAAGUCUGUUCGACUUUUAAAUUUUUACAUGAUCUGAGU
rnacentral:rRNA from 1 species